UCAACAGACGGACCGUCGGUUUACCGAGCAACUUCACCCGCUCGAUAAAAGACCUCACCUCUGUCGU
rnacentral:pre_miRNA from 1 species